CAGUCGCCGCGGUAAUACGAAGGGUGCAAGCGUUAAUCGGAAUUACUGGGCGUAAAGCGUGCGUAGGCGGUGAGUUAAGUCUGCUGUGAAAUCCCCGGGCUCAACCUGGGAAUGGCAGUGGAUACUGGCUCGCUAGAGUGUGUCAGAGGAUGGUGGAAUUCCCGGUGUAGCGGUGAAAUGCGUAGAGAUCGGGAGGAACAUCAGUGGCGAAGGCGGCCAUCUGGGACAACACUGACGCUGAGGCACGAAAGCGUGGGGAGCAGACAGGAUUAGAUACCCCCGUAGUCCCUGUCUCUUAUAC
rnacentral:rRNA from 1 species